AUUGAACGCUGGCGGCAGGCCUAACACAUGCAAGUCGAACGGUAGCACAGAGAGCUUGCUCUCGGGUGACGAGUGGCGGACGGGUGAGUAAUGUCUGGGAAACUGCCCGAUGGAGGGGGAUAACUACUGGAAACGGUAGCUAAUACCGCAUAACGUCGCAAGACCAAAGUGGGGGACCUUCGGGCCUCACACCAUCGGAUGUGCCCAGAUGGGAUUAGCUAGUAGGUGGGGGAAUGGCUCACCUAGGCGACGAUCCCUAGCUGGGCUGAGAGGAUGACCAGCCACACUGGAACUGAGACAGGGUCCAGACUCCUACGGGAGGCAGCAGUGGGGAAUAUUGCACAAUGGGCGCAAGCCUGAUGCAGCCAUGCCGCGUGUAUGAAGAAGGCCUUCGGGUUGUAAAGUACUUUCAGCGGGGAGGAAGGCGGUGAGGUUAAUAACCUUGCCGAUUGACGUUACCCGCAGAAGAAGCACCGGCUAACUCCGUGCCAGCCGCCGCCGUAA
rnacentral:rRNA from 1 species